CCAAUAGCGUAUAUUAAAGUUGUUGCAGUUAAAAAGCUCGUAGUUGAAUUUCGGGGUCAGCAAGUUGGUCGUGCCACCGGUAUGCACUGGUUUCGCUGAUUCCUCCUUCUUGUAGAACCUUAAUGCCAUUAACUUGGUCUUGCGGGGAAACAGGACUGUUACUUUGAAAAAAUUAGAGUGUUUGAAGCAGGCUAACGCUUGAAUACAUUAGCAUGGAAUAAUGAAAUAGGACGAUCGAUCCUAUUUUGUUGGUUUCUAGGAUUGACGUAAUGAUUAAUAGGGAUAGUUGGGGGCAUUAGUAUUCAAUUGUCAGAGGUGAAAUUCUUGGAUUUAUUGAAGACUAACUACUGCGAAAGCAUUUGCCAAGGAUGUUUUCAUUAAUCAAGAACGAAAGUUAGGGGAUCGAAGACGAUCAGAUACCGUCGUAGUCUUAACCAUAAACUAUGCCGACUAGGGAUCGGAUGAUGUUAAUUUUAUAAUGACUCAUUCGGCGCCUUACG
rnacentral:rRNA from 1 species